AUACGGAAGGUCCGGGCGUUAUCCGGAUUUAUUGGGUUUAAAGGGAGCGCAGGCGGAGAUGCAAGCGUGACGUCAAAUUUCGGGGCUCAACCCCGUCUCGCGUCGCGAACUGCGUCCCUUGGUUGCGGGAAGGGGAGGCGGAACUCGUGGUGUAGCGGGGAAAUGCAUAGAUAUCACGAAGAACUCCGAUCGCGAAGGCAGCCUCCCGGUCCGUCAACGACGCUCAUGCUCGAAGGUGCGGGUAUCAAACAGGAUUAGAUACCCUGGUAGUCCGCACAGUAAACGAUGGACACCCGCGGUUUGGCCUGUAUGGCUGAGCCGCCAAGCGAAAGCGUUAAGUGUCCCACCUGGGGAGUACGCCGGCAACGGUGAAACUCAAAGGAAUUGACGGGG
rnacentral:rRNA from 1 species